AGGAAAUGACACGGUUGUCCCCAGGGUCCCAUAACCAAGGCCUGAAGUCUGUCCUCUAGGAAGAUGACACUUCGACACCCCUCCUGCCUGUAGGGAACAACAGUGCUGUGGGAAGGACGGGGGUGCACUGUGGAAGCAGUGAGACGCUCACUGCCCAGGACCUGCACUUUAAUGGCUCAUUGCUGUUGAAAGAUGAACAAGGUCCAACGUCCUGGCUCAGUGGCUCCACAGGGAUUCUUUGUGUUCCAAACACAUCCAAGGUUACAGAUGCCUCCGGGUCCUCAGGCUGUGCGUGUCACCUCCCACACACCUCUUCAUCACACUGUGGAGACCACAGGGGCCAUCAGCCUGGUCGCACUCCUCAGAGGCUAGUGGCGCCCACCACCCAAAUUGUGAAGGAGGCACACUGGACAUGGGAAGCAUCCUAACGCGCGUGUUACUCUCUUCCACGGGAGAACGGGAGGCAGGACAUCAUGGCCAUACUAAGGCCUGACAGACACACCUAGGUACCCAAGACCAGAGAGGGAGCAUGAAGACAUGACACGAGCCACCAAGAUGGGCAAGAUGGGGCUCUAUCUUGCCCUGACCCACCCUUGCUGACCACCAGCAGCCCUCCACUUUGCAGCAGGUCACCAGACAGGUUCCCCUGGAUACCAACAGCUUUAGCCUGCAAAGACAGGAACGGGACUCAGGUCAGUCCCGGAGGGAAUGCUGCAGGGAUUCCCACCAAUGCUCUCAAACCACAAACCUUGGAGGCUACAUCACGAACAGGUUUUCCCAGGGCAGCUGGUAGGAUGCUUAAGCUGUUGUACCUACAAAGACAUAGAUAGGGUCCCUAGUCCAGAUUCUGGUGGAACACAAGUAUCCACACCUGUUCCCAGUGUCCUGCCCCACCCACUUAUCUAACCCAGGGCUCAGGCAGAU
rnacentral:lncRNA from 1 species